rnacentral:rRNA from 1 species
CCUAUGGGUGGCAGCAGUGAGGAAUAUUGGUCAAUGGGCGCGAGCCUGAACCAGCCAAGUCGCGUGAGGGAGGACGGCCCUACGGGUUGUAAACCUCUUUUGCCGGGGAGCAACGGGCGCCACGUGUGGCGUCACUGAGAGUACCCGGAGAAAAAGCAUCGGCUAACUCCGUGCCAGCAGCCGCGGUAAUACGGAGGAUCCGAGCGUUAUCCGGAUUUAUUGGGUUUAAAGGGAGCGUAGAUGGGUUGUUAAGUCAGUUGUGAAAGUUUGCGGCUCAACCGUAAAAUUGCAAUUGAUACUGGCAGUCUUGAGUACAGUUGAGGUAGGCGGAAUUCGUGGUGUAGCGGUGAAAUGCUUAGAUAUCACGAAGAACUCCGAUUGCGAAGGCAGCUUACUAAACUGCCACUGACAUUGAUGCUCGAAAGUGUGGGUAUCAAACAGGAUUAGAUACCCCAGUAGUC